rnacentral:rRNA from 1 species
UACAGAGGUGGCAAGCGUUGUUCGGAAUUACUGGGCGUAAAGGGCGCGUAGGCGGUCCGAUAAGUCCCGUGUGAAAUCCCUCGGCUCAACUGAGGAAUGGCACGGGAAACUGACGGGCUUGAGUUCGGGAGAGGGAAGCGGAAUUCCGGGUGUAGCGGUGAAAUGCGUAGAUAUCCGGAGGAACACCGGUGGCGAAGGCGGCUUCCUGGACCGACACUGACACUGAGGCGCGAAAGCUAGGGGAGCAAACGGG